CCUCCACAAGCAGGAGCUCUCAAGGGUGACAGUCCGCGUGGGGUUGCCAUGCGAGGCAGUACGCACGCCACAUACAAGGCAGGAGGUCUCUCGCUGCUGGCCAUGCUGCCUACAGCCCGCGCACUUGUUAGAGUCUCACACUGUCACCAGGCUGGAAUGCAGUGGCACGAUCUCAACUCACUGCAACCUCUAUCUCCUGAGUUCAAGCAAUUCUCCUGCCUCAGCCUCCCAAGUAACUGGGACUACAGGCACCCACCACCAUGCCCAGCUAAUUUUUGUAUUUUUAGUAGAUACGGGAUUUUACCAUAUUGGCCAGGCUGGUCUUCAACUCCUCACCUCAGGUGAUCCACCCAUCUCAGGCUCCCAAAGCGCUGGUAUUACACAGAUGAGCCACCACUGUCUGGCUGACAACAUCAUUUUAAUGGCUACACAGUAUGUCCAAUGCAUGAACACAUCAUCAUCUAAUAAAUCACUUUUUGAGAGUCAUUUAGCCUCUUCCUUUUGUGGCAGUGAUGCCUCAUGUCAUAAUAAACAUUCUUUUACAAGAUCAUUAUAACUCUGCACAGUUAUCUGUGCAGAAAUUAUCUUAAGAUAAAUUUCUAGACUUGGAAUUGAUUUUUUUUUUUUUUUUUUUUGAGAUAUAAUCUCACUCUGUCACCUAGGCUGGAGUGCAGUGGCACAAUCUGGGCUCACUGCAACCUCCACCUCCUGGGUUCAAGCAGUUCUCUGCCUCAGCCUCCCAAGUAGCUGGCACCACAGGUGCCCACCAUCACACCUGGCUAAAUUUUUGUAUUUUUAGUAGAGACAAGGUUUCACCUUCUUGGCCAGGCUGGUCUUGAACUCCCAACCUGAGAUCCACCUGCCUUGGCCUCCCAAAGUGCUGAAAUUACAGGUAUGAGCCACCACACCCAGCCAGAAUUGAUUUUAAUAAAGCCGGACCAUUUUCAGAAAGACUGUACCAGUUACAGUCUCACUAAUAAUACUGUUUAUCACCCACAGCAGGGCCAAAACAUCAGAUAUAUAUUUCUUAAUCCUUGGUAAUUUAAUAAGGAAAAAAUGGUAACUCGUGCUUUGUUUGAAUUUUACUGACUUUAAUUUAAUGAAAUAAUAGUGUUUUGAAAACUCCCUUGUGGAUGUUUAACCCACAGGCCUUGCCUUUUCAAUCACAAUACUCAUGGGUUUGUAUUGUGAUGAUUUACUCUUGGCACCUCUGUCUCUUUAUAUUAUGCCUUUGUAGUCCCAUAACCAUCUUAGCAACAUUAAUAACAGGGAAAAACUGGAAACUAAAAUAUCCAAAAGGAAGACUGUUUAAUUGGCUUAAUAUACAAUACAGUCCUUUCAAUGAGGUAGGUCUCUAUUCACUGAGGGCUGAAUAACUGAAGGGCAUUCACAAUUAAAAACAGGCUUGAGAACAAACUCUAUAAUCAGUCUUUCUGUGUCUUUCUCUAUUUCUGUUUCUCACACACUGACACAUUUAAACAAAUAUUCACACAGUUUGAAUGGAUAAUAAACAGUAAUUGAUCAUAGUUGAUAAAAUUCCAGGUGACUUCUUCUUGCUCUUCUGUUUUUAUAAUAGCAUGUAGAAUUUGUACAAAUUUAAAAUAAUUUUUUUUUCCUGCUUGUAAAACAACACUAACAAUUUGUUAACAAUAUUUAUUUGCCAACCAAAAGCUCAGAAUGAAAUUUGAAACUCAUUUAUAGCUACCAUUCUGGUCCUUACUACACAUAUAUUCAUUUUCUAAAUUUCUGACUGAAUUUCUAUUUUGUUAUAUCACUACUCUUGUAGUCAAUUACCUUGCAUUGUUGGUGGAGUGUGGCAGAAACAAAAGAUCCCUGAAAUGAAAGAAAGGACUGAAUCGUCAAAGCAAUGGGCCCAGCAAAGUGCCAAAUAACAAAGAAAAAAAAAUACUCUUUAAUACAACCUAUGGAAGAGUCUGAAUUCCAAAGAUAAAGAAGAUUUCCUAUAAGAUUCCAAAGAGAAGGCAGAAAAAAGAAACAAGUUAUCGAUACAGGAAAUAGAAUCGGACCAAUGGAAUUCUUUGUCAGCAGCAAUCCAUACCCAGAGAGUGAAGCAGUUUAGACAACACUAACAUGGAAAAAAACAAUGGAUGUGGUGGCUCACGCCUAUAAUCCCAGCACUUUGGGAGGCCAAGGUGGGUGGAUCACGAGGUCAAGAGAUCAAGACCAUCCUGGUCAACAAGGUGAAACCCCGUCUCUACUAAAAAUACAAAAAUUAGCUGGGCAUGGUGGUGUGUGCCUGUAGUCCCAGCUACUUGGGAGGCUGAGGCAGGAGAGUUGCUUGAACCCAGGAGGCGGAGGUGGCGGUGAGCCGAGAUCAUGCCAUUGCACUCCAGUCUGGGUAACAACAGCAAAACUCCGUCUCAAAACAAAAUGGAUGCCAGAAUUCUAGAUCCAAAACACAAAUCUCAGAGAGAAAAAAACAACUGAUUUUAGACAUGUACAGAUAUUGCACAUAUGAGCCUUUCUGAAAAACAUUACUCCAGAAAAUAUUCUAGUGAAACCAAAGGGAACAAUAUGAAGACAGAGCUGAUGAAUGGAAAUGCAAAAGUGAACUGAGCCAGAAAGCCACGCCCUGUCCAGGUGAGAAAUAAACACCAGGCAACUGGUAAUGCCUGAGAGAGGCCUCCUCCACUGCCAGAAGCACACACACAAUUCAUGGGAGAAUGAAUAGGGAAGCUUAUGAUACAGUCAUCUAAGAGGUUAAGAGGCACUCAGUGACAUGCCUUAGGAGCCAGGAUCUGGGACACGUUAUUUUCUACAGUUUCACAGAAAAGAGGAGAAUGCCAUGAUGAGUAUGUGGAAGCCCACGUAAAUUCUGUAACUGUUACCGUUUGUUACCUCUUCUUUCCUUCUUUCAGGUAUGUAAAUACAUACACAUAUAUCUGUUUUUUCCCCCCUGCUGAACCAUGUAUAAUAAGUUGUACACCAAAGAAAUAAAAGUAAAAGAUGGUUGGUUCCAGGAUGAAAUUAUGAGGGUUGUAGUGAUUAAAAAAAAAAGUAGUGUAUGUUCAAGCCACUAAGGAAAAUAAUUUAGGAAAAGAAUCAAUCCAGUAAAAGCAAAGAAAAAGGAAGAUAAAAGAACGAUAAACCUUUACACAUGAUAUACUCUACUACACAUUCUGCAAAUUACAAGACAUGUGAAAACAGUGCAACCUAUGUUGGGAGAAUUCAACCCUCCUCUGAACCUGAUGGAUCAAGUAAUCAAAAAAGUAGAGAGAAAGGAUCUGCCUUCCCAGCAUUCCCAACUGGCCUGGCACAUCAGGGAGACCCUUAAGCACAGCCUCCUCAUUGUGCCCUGGCAGUCAGAAAAUGUUAUGCCCAUCUCCAAAUUACUCUGUCACUCACCCAGAUGUGUGCCUUGGGGAACUCCACUCUCCACCAUCCAGGGGUUUUCCCCUUGCUCUAAGUGGGAGAUGACCUUUGGCUUGGAAAAGAGAAUCCCUGUUCAUGAACAAGAAAGAGACAUGAGUGGCCAUCAUGGCAUGCAGGUCCAGCCCGAGAAUGCCCAGGACAGAGGGGCAGUACCAGGAAGGAGGAGGUUUGUUCUGAGAGGGGCUUAAAAUUGGGCUUCUAGAGGAUGAUCAGGAGAUGGUCUCAGGAAGAAAAUUAGGCCUCUGGUUGUGCACUCCUCUCAGCAGGAACAUCUUCUGGGGCUCAGGGAACAGAGCUCAGUGGGCAAAGGACAGGAAAAGCAGAGAAAAGAUGCCCUUCAUCACCUCUACUAAGCCAAGGUCACUCAGUACAAAAAAGGGAAUGGCAAUGGCCACACUUGGAGCGUGCCUGUGGGUCGACUUGGCCAAGCUCUCCAAAUGCUCCCCCUGGAGAGUGCUAAGGCGCUCUUGUGGCAGAUUCUGCAUCAGGAGGAAAGCUCCUUACCCAGUGAGACCAGGCUGCUGUAGUUCUCCAGCAUCACCUCCCUGUACAAGGCUCUCUGGGCAGAGUCCAGGUGCAACCACUCAUCUGGGCUGAAGAACACGGCCACAUCCCUGAAUGUCACAGACUCCUGGAAGGCAAACCCAUUCCUGCUCACCCAGGACCAUCCCCACAAUGGGACAACUGAGAAGCAACCCUGUCACAACUUAGGGUUCUAAGUAUUUAAAGUAUUUCUGGACAACUUUUUGGUUACCAAGCACAUGUUUAUCAUUUACCUAUAGUGAGUGAAACACUGUCCCCUUAGGAAGCCUGAACAAAGAGGCCAAACAAGAUAAGCCCUUGAAAAUCAUGAAACAAAAUUAGAGCAAGAAAACAUUGAACUUUAGAUUUGGAAAUGUCCAAUCACCUAGACCAAACUCUCAUUUACAGGUGACACCUGAGAGUCAAGUUUUGGAAGGAGGCACCAGCACAUUCAUGUAGGGAGGUAUAGGUGGAACACCACCUGGCUUGCCUGAGGGGCGGUCACUGAGUCCUAGUUCUGCCUCAACUUAGGCCCAUCUCUGAGUCUUGGGAAAGAGGACACUGACAUUCAUGUAGGGAAGACUAUGAGAAUGUCCCAGGCAUGGCUGUGCCAGGAGAGGUCCCAAGUGGUGGGCCACAUAACCUUUCAAGCCAGAGGAGGCUAUGGUCAGGAGUCUCCCUCCCCACCCAGAAGCUCCUGUUCUUCUACCUCUCCUCCUUCAGUAAAUGGCGUGUCACUGCUCUGAACUAGGGCCACCUCCCCUUCUUUCCAUAUUAAGAGUCAUCUUGGCUGGGCACAGUUGCUCGUGCCUAUAAUCCCAGCACUUUGGAAGGCCAAGGUAGAAGGAUUACUUGAGCCUAGGAGUUCAAAGACCAGCCUGGACAACAUAGGGAGACCCCAACUUUGCACAAAAUAAAAUGCUUUUAAUUAGUUGGGUGUGGUGGCAUGUGCCUGUAGUCCCAGUUAUUCAGAAGGCUGAGGCAGAAAGCUUGCCUGAGCCCAGGAGGUUGAGGCUGCAGUGACAUGUGAUCACACCACUGCACUCCAGACUGGGCAACAGAGUAAGAUCCUGUCCCUUAAAAAACAAAACAAAAAAAGAAGAAUCAUCUUCUUUAAAAAGCUUAUUAGAAAAUUAUAAAAGAUCAAUAAGCAAAAGAACAAGAAGUGUUCAUCUAACUUUCUACAACCAGAAAAAGUUAACUUUUUGCUAUGUCUCUUCAGAUGAUUUCCAUGCAAAUAUGGUUCUAUAUUUAAAUAAAAAUAAAACUACAUAUACAAAUAAUUGCAUUCUAGUCAUCACUGUUUACAUGCUGCCCAGUAUUUCACUGUAUGAUCAAGUUCCUUUAACUCACCUAGUAGUGGAUGUUUAGGUUGUUUCUACUUUGUUAAUACUCUAAAAAUGCUGAAUUGCGUAUCCCGUACAUCACCAGAAAGGCAUACAAAGCUUAUUUCUCUCAGACUCAUUUCUAGAGGUGUAAGUGUUAGGUCACAGCUUCUUUCUCUUUACCAUCUCCAAGGUUUGUCCCCAUAAAACCAGGAAAGGGGUUGAAAAGCCAGGCACAUUCCCUGACUUGUAAGGGCAAAGGCAAAAUAAAAACCAGAGGCUGGAUUCUCCCUAUUGGAAACAAGGGAAAAGAUAUUCCCCAUCAUCCUCUUUUCUUUCACAAUUUCUUUAUUUUUCCUUUUGAAAUGUAUGUAAAUCAUUUUAAUGGCUAGACACUUGCCAGUCUCACAACUCAGGAAAAUUUCCUCAAGAAACUGCUAGCCAUCUCUUUGAAUUUCAUCAUCAAGGAAGAUGUUCAAAGAACAGAGGCCAUUAGGCUGAGGUGGCUCUAACACCCUGGAUUCCUAACAAAUGAAACUAAAGCUCAGCCAAUCAGAAGCACACUCACUGAGCACGAGUUACAGUAUAGGAACUGUGCAAGAGACACAGUCCAAAUCAAAAACUGCUCAAACUUUCACCAAAUAGUUUCUUUGCUCUGCCUCCUCAUUCACCCUAUAAAAGCUUUCCCCUUUCCUCCUUUGGUCAGAGCCCAGAACCUCUUCUGGUUUAGAGCUGCCUAACGUCUGCCCAAAUAAACUCUAACAUCUUAAUAUACCAAAGUUUACCUCUUAACAAAGAAAACUAAUCUCUCAGUUUCCUGGGAAGAGAUGGACCUAACUUGUCACUGACUCCAAACUGCAAAACCUACCCAAUGCAUUGGGUUGCAUUCACUUAAGAUAUAAAGGUUUUCUGUCUUUGCAAUCUCUUUAGUGCAUUGCCUGUGAUGUGUAUCACAAUUGGGUUUAAUAAUUCUUCAAUAAUAAAAUUUCUUUUCUACAUUUGUGGAGAGGUUUUCUGGGUUGGAAGAUUAUGUUCUUAAUCGUAUUUCCCUAACAAUCCGUCAAUGAUACAGAGUAGGUGCCACAAAAAGGCACAGAAUGGAAGAAACCACUGUGGUCCAGGAGGCUUCUCAUCUCAGGGAUGGCUCUCUUCCCCAAAUCUGCCCCCAAACCAUGGCCUAAGCUAUGAUUUCCUCUAGAUGCCAUCCAUUCACCAGCUAUACAAGCCUGGUGCCAUCAUGUGAAUCCAGUAUCACACACUAUUAGUGAGUUUCUGAAACUACAACUGCUGAUAAGGAAGUUUCUUUCUCUGAUCUUUCUAGAAAAUCACCUGGACCCUUAUCAUCCAACACAGCCAUGCAGCACAUAACAACAGAGAUACACUCUAAGAAAUGUGGUGUUAGGCAAUUUCAUUGUGGUAUAAACAUCACAUGGUGUUACUUACAGGAUCCUAGACAGUAUGGCCUAUUGCUCCCAGGCUAUAAACCUGUACUGCAUGUUACAGUACUGAAUACUAUAGGCAAUUGUAACACAAUGCUAUGUGUGUAUCUAAACACAGAAAAGGUAAAAAUAUAGUAUAAAAAUGAUACAUCUUGUAAAAAGAAAAUAACAUUUCAGAACCUUCCCAAUUUAUGACACCAAAGGAAAAAAGUUAAGCCUGGAAACUGAGUUACAUAAUAUGGUUGUUUGCCUUUGGCUCAUGACAAUUGCUUCCUGACCUUUGUGUUGAGACAUUACACGUUAAUCCAACUCCCUGUGCUUUCCUCAAAAAUAAAUGAUGUUGGUAACAGAGACCCUGGUGAUUGUUACCUCCUUACAAUGUUAAGCAAGCCCAAGAGUGUAAUCAAUAGCAGGCAAUCAACCCCUACAUCUGUAUGCUAGCCUCUGUGUGAUAGCACCUGUAUGCUAGCACCUCCGUUUUCGUCUAUAUAAAUUAUCCCUUUUCCCCACACCAGCACUAAUCACUAUUCUUUGGUGUCUGUAUGUGUGUCCCCUGACAGCUGCCUUCACACUUUGCGCUUAAAUAAACUCUUAACUGGAUCCUGAGCCUUUUGAUUAUUUUAGGUUGACAAUCUGUAUAGGUAACUUGCCAUGAAUGGAGCCUGCAGGAGUGGAAUUUACUCUGGGUGAGUGAGUCAGUGGUGAGUGAAGGCCUAGGACAUUAUUGUACACUCCUGUAGACUUUAUAAACACCAUACACUUAGGCUACACAAAAUGUAUCUUAAAAAAAUAAAGUAACUGUGCUACAACAACAGUUAUGACAUCAUAGGGAUAAAAAUGUUCAGCCCUAUUAUAAUCUUAUGGGACCACCCUCAAUGCUCCCUGGACUGACUGUACUUCCAUAUUUUUAUUAGUCCUCAGUUCCUGGAGGGCAAUCUCAGCUCACUGCAACCUCUGCCUCCUGGGUUCAAGAGAUUCUCCUGCCUCCGCCUCCUGAGUAACUGAGACUACAGGUGCGUACCACUAUGCCCACCGCACCUGGCUUUUUUUUGAGAUGGAGUCUCAGUGAGCCACCCAGGCUGGAGUGCAGUGGCAUGAUCUCCACUCAAUGCAACCUCCACCUGCUGGGUUCAAGUGAUUCUCCUGCCUCAGCCUCCAAAGUAGUUGGGAUUACAGGCAGGCAUCACCAUGCUCAGCUAAUUUUUGUAUUCUUAGUAGAGAUGAGGUUUUACCAUGUUGGUCAGGCUGGUCUCUAACUCCCUACCUCAAGUGAUUCCCUGGCCUUGACCUCCCAAGUGCUGGGAAUACAAGGCCUCUCUUUUUCAAAUUCUCAGUGUUAGAAAGGAACUAUUUGACUCCUCCAUGUCUUUGUCCUCCACGGGGCAAAAACAUACCUGGAUCUUUCACAAAGCUCUGGGAGUGGCAAUGGCAUGGGGCUGGAGCUCCAUUAAAUUCUUUGUCAAAAAGUGUAAGACGGGGCUGGGUGCCGUGGCUCAUGCCUGUAGUACCAACACUUUGGGAGUCUGAGGCGGGCAGAUUGCCUGAGGUCAGGAGUUCAAGACCAGCCUGGCCAACACAGUAAAACCCAGUCUCUACUAAAAAUAUAAAAAUUUGACAAGCAUAGUGGCACAUGCCUGUUAUCCCACUUACUUGGGAGGCUAAGGCAGGAGAAUCGCUUGAACCUGGGAGGUAGAGGUUGCAGUAAGCUGAGAUCGCACCACUGCACUCCAGCCUGGGCAACAGAGCAAGACUCCAUCUCAAAAAAAAAAAAGGUAUAAGACUGGGCAGGCACAGUGGCUCAUGCCUGUAAUCCCAGCACUUUGGGAGGCCAAGGAAGACAGACUGCUUGAACUCAGAAGUUUGAGAGCAGUCUGGGCAACAUGGGGGAAACCCUGUCUCUACAAAACAUACAAAAAUUAGCUGAGCAUGGUGAUGUGCACCUGUAGUCCCAGGUACCAGGAAGGCUGAGGCUGCAGUGAACCAUGUUCAUGCCAAUGCAUUCCAGCCUGGGUGAUAAAGUGAGACCCUGUCUCAGAAAAAAAAAAAAUGUAUGAGACUGGCUGUGAAGCAAGGGAAACCUCUUCCUUCCAGAGUUCCUCGGCUACCAAGGCCUCCAGUCCUUCCCUGAGCUUCACUGGUUAGAGAAGCUCAACAACAGAUGAACAAGUUUACCACCUCUAUAGGGUAUACCCUGAAGGCACUUCAAGCAAAAAGAAGCCUUCACUCACCUGUACCUGGGCUGGCAGCACCCUCCUUGCCAUUUCUCCCUCCCUGCUGCCCCUCUUGGAGAAGGCACCUGGAAUGGAGAAACAAUCUGUGAGGUCUUUUCAUCCCACCUGCAGGCCCACCCUCAUUAGGCCAGACCAGGCAGAAGCCACAAGCUGAGCAACUGCAGAGAAGGAGCCUGGCACUGCCCAGGGAAGAGGGGCCCUGAGCCCGGCCACCUAAACCAGUGUGGGCAGCAGGCACACAGUCACUGGGCCUGCUACCUUUCCACCAUGCUUUAUAAUAAAGACGCAUGGAGCAAAGGGAAUGAAGACCACCUGCUGUGCACUAACAGGGUCAAGGGCACAAUCAGGCAAGGCUCAUCCAGAUGCUGAAGUUAACAGGAAAUGAGACAAUAUUCCACACAUCUGCUGUUGGAUGUUGUUCAAUACGAAAAACAGCAGUUGAAGAACUGACGCCCUUUUUAGGAACAGCCAACCACAAAUUAGUCCUCUUUUCUUCCUCCUUUAAGUUUUACUUUCUUUAUCAAAAACAGUUAUCAAAGCUGCUUAAAGGAAGCGUUACUCAUUCUCCCCACCCCCAAAAAGCAAGGGCUCAAGAGAAUACCAUAACUGGCUACAAAUGGAUUCAAAAUUUAGAGAAAUGGGAAGCAACUUAGCAAGUGGACAAGGUUAUAGUAAAUAAAAAAGGAAAUAGUCAAAUCACUCUAGGACUGACUGUGCAGGAAAACACUGCCAAACGAGCAAGACUGCCAAAACGAGUAAAUGUAAAGUUUAAACUCCGGGAAACGGAGUGGAGGUAAGGUUAAACCCACAAACGCUAAGAGCGGAAAACCUCCCCGAGGGCUCCGACCCCGAAUCGAGGCGGCGUUCUGAGGUUUCUUUCCUGGGGCCGUUUCCUCUGGAGUCUGGCCCAGGCUGCAGCCCAGGCGCCCGGCAGUGGCGGCGCGCUCUCCUGGCCUCCGCAGGGCCCUUCCCAGGCGACGCCCCCUCCGGGGCCAGGUUCACCUGCCGAGGCCGCCGCGGCUGAGACGCCUGGAGCCCAGGCUCGGCGGACACGCGCAGCGGCCGGCCUUCGUCCUGGUCCCGCCGCUGCAGCCGCAUGCCACGGGCACGCCCUCACCUGCAGCCUAUACCCGGGCCCGCCGCGGCGGGGGCGCGCAGCUGUACACCGCACAGGAGGCGAGCGGAACACCUAGCUCCGAGACGUUUCCCGUCGCCGCCGCCAGCCGCCGGACUCAACUGCGCUUGCGCGUCGGAGAGCCGAAGGUUUUCCCCGGCUGAACCGCCAGCGUUUGUCCCUCCGGACUUCAUUUCCCAGACGUCGUCGCGGCACCACCCCCUAUGGUGUCCAAGAGGAAACCACAGCGCCGAGACCGGAGAACGCGGUCGGACUGGAGUUCGAGAAGGCUGAAGCCGAGUCCCUCAGCUUGGGCUCCAACUACUUUUCCUCCGCUAAGGCACUCACUGUAUUCGUAAUUAGAAUGACAACAAUAGUAAGACGGAAAAAUGGAGUUUCGCUCUUUUUACCCAGUUGCUGGAGUGCAAUAGCGCGAUCUCAGCUCUCUGCAAGCUCUGUCUCCUGGGUUCAAGCAAUUCUCCUGCCUCAGCCUCCCGAGUAUCUGGGACUACAGGCAUGCACCACCAUGCCCAGCUAAUUUUUGUAUUUUUAGUAGGGAUAGGGUUUCACCAUGUUGACCAGGAUGGUCUCAAUCUCUUGACUUUGUAAUCCACCCAUCUUGGCCUCCCAAAGUGCUGGGAUUAUAGGCGUGAGCCACUGUGCCCAGCCCUCUAACAUUUGUCUUUAUCCAUCUAGAAUUAAUUCUAUGUAUGGUGUGAGGUAGGGAUCCAGUUUCAUUCUUUUUCAUUAUAGUUACCUAAUUUACUCAAAAUCUUUUAUUGAUAAUUUGUCCUUUUCCUUAUAAAUUUAAAAGUCAGUUUUCCAUAUAUAUGGAUUUCCAUUAAUAAAUUUUCCAUAUACAUGCAUAAAUUAUUUUAAGGACUCUGUAUUCUAUAGAGUCCAUCUAUAUGUUUAAAUCUGCACCAUUUUUAUUGCAUGUAAAUUAAUAUAUUUUUGUGAUACAUCAUCUUGUUUUAUCCUUGAAGAGGCUGAUUAUCUUUAGUCCUUUGAUUUUCAACAUAUAUUUUACAAUCAACAUGUUUCCAUGUGAACAUCUGAAUACCUUUGGGAUAUAGUUUGGGGUUACAUUAAUCUGUAGAUCAAUUUGAAAAGCACCAGAAUUUUUACAUUUUUGGGUCUUGCUAUCUAUAGACAUUUUAACCACCCAAUUUAUCUAGUUCUUCCUUAAGUCUUUAAAUAAAGUGUCUUAAGAGUCUCCUUAAAGAUUUUUGCCCAUCUUUGUUUAGAUAAUUUCUAGUUAUUCUAUCUAUUUUUGUAGCUCUUAUAAAUGGAAUCUUUUUUUAAGUUACGUUUUCUAACUUUUUGUGCCUGGUAUAUACAAUGCAAAUUAUUUUAGAAUUGCUCUUAUAUUUAUAUAUUAUUUUCUAUGUAGUUAUCAUGGUUAAUUUUAUGUGUCAACUUGACUGGUCUGUGGGGUACCCAGACAUUUUGCCAGUCAGUAUCCUGAGUGUGUCUGUGAGGGCAUUUAUGAAUGAGCUAACAUUUGAAUCAGUGGACUGUGUGAAGCAGAUUGUUUUAAUGCAGUGUAAGUGGGUCUUAUCCAAUCAAUUGAAGCUCUGAACAGAAUAUAAAAGGUGACCUUCUCCCAAGUAAGAGAAAACUCCUCUUGCCUUGACUGCCUUGAGCUGGGACUCAAGAAAAAGCAUCAGUUUUUCUGGAUUCAAACUGAAACAUCAGCUUUGCAUGGGUCUCAAGGCUACUGGCUGGACUGGAACUUACACUACAGGCUCUCCUGAUUCUCAGCUCUUUGGACUCAGACUGGAACUACACCAUGGCUCUCCGGGUCUCCAACUUGCCAACUGUAGAUCUCGGAACCUUUCAUCCUCCAUAACUGCAUGAGCCAAUUCCUUCUAAUAAAUCUAUAUUAUAUAUCUGUCUAUAUGAUAAGUAAAUAACUCUAUGUACUUAGGUAACCCUGUAUGUUACAUCUAUCUAAUCAAUCUAUCUGUCUGUCUAUCUAUCUGUCUAUCUCUCUAUCUCUCUAUCUCUCUAUCUAUCUAUUCUUUGUUGUCUCUGGAGAACCCUAACAUAGUAAGCAAUCAUAUAAUCUGCAAAUGAUGAAAGGUGUGUAUUUUCCAAAUCAAUCAUGAUACUUCAUUUUUUCUUGCACUGACUAGUGCCUCCUAGAAGGAAUGAUAAUUGAAAUUAUUGUCUUGCUCUGAUUUAAAGGAAGUAAAUACUUCAAAUAAUUCAUCAUGGAAUGCAAUAUUUUCUGUAGGCUUUUAGUAGAUAACUUCAUCAUUUUAAAGAGGAUCCUUAGAUUAUGAAACACUUAAAAUUAUGAAUGAAUAUUAGAUGUUAUCAAAUGCUUUUUCUGCAUCCAUUUAGAUGAUCAUGUUUUUCCUUUAAUCUGUUAAUGCAGUGAAUUACAUUAAUAGAUUUCCUAAGUCAUUAAUCUGCUAAAGUGCAUUUCUGGGACAAACCAGACUUGGUUAUGACAUUUAUGUAUUUCAGUUUGCAAAUAUUGGACUAGGAUUUUUGUAUCUAUAUUCUUUAGUUUGGCCUGUAAAUUUUAUUUCUUGUACUAAGUAUUAGCCUCAUGAAAGGCAUUGUCAAAUGUUUUCUUUUUUUCUAUUCUGAAAUUGUUUGGUGAAAAAACAUAUUUUGUUCCAGUGCAUUUCUGUACCGUGGAUUAGUUUAAUGGUAUGUGGAAAGUGUCUUGGUUUGUAUGGGAUUUUCCCCCAGCACAUUAAUAUUUUACACUCAAAGUAAGAGGAUCUGAAUUCAGGCAAACAACACAGCUAAGAGAGUAUAACUCAAGAAUAUGAGUCUCUGCCUGUUGUGACUUUGACUCAGUCCCUCCCAACUUAGUGUGGCCCCUUGUUCUCUCACAAACAUUUCUGUUUGGUCUUUAUAACUCAGUGGCAUCAAUCUUUCAUCAUAUCAUUUCUCUCCAAUAUACUUUCAUCUUUCUUAAAAGGUCAAGUUCCCAGUUUAAUAUAGUAUGUUUGUAGAGAUAUGCACAUAUGUAUGUGUGUUUGUAACAAUUUAUCAUGCCCUUUUAACUUUGCUGUUAUUUUUCAUUAGGAUUGUGGUUUUCAUUAGUGUUCUGGUUCCAAACCUCCUUAUGAUUUGAAUGGUCUGUUACAAUCCUAUUAUUCCAAUACCCUCUGUUUAUUUUUUGUCUGCAGUACAACACAGUAAUUUUCAGAAAUACCUAUACUAUAGUCUAGCAGAAACACCUUAGUCAUUCCUUGUUUGGUGGCAUUUGUCUGCACCUGGAUCUUCACUUGCUGUCCCCUCUGCCAAAAUAUUUUCUACCAUAAAGGCCUUUUAUAUACCAAACUUGGUAUCCACAUGCAAAAGGAUGAAGUUGGACCCCUACCUCACACCAUAUACAAAUAUUAACUCCACAUGGAACAAAGACCUAAAUAUGAGAGCUAAAGCAAUAGAAAACUAUAUAGGUGGUGGUUGCCCAACACUGUGAAUACCCUGUGAUUAUAGAAUGGAAAACUACAACAACCAGUUAGGCAGGACUACUCAUGACCAACCCCUUUAGGAAUAAAAGUUGGGGUAGCCCCAUCAGGUUAAGAUCCACAACCAGCUGAGGUGUUUGCUGAGGGCAAAAGGAAUAUGGAAUGGGUAGUGGAAGACUGGUCAUGACUAAAUGACCAGUGAUGGAAAUUAGGACUGUACUUAUGAGUAUUUUUUCCUUGUUUGGUUAUAAAUAUGUUUUGGUAAUACUUCUUCCCUCUCUUAUCCCUCAUUAUGUACUGUACAAUGUGUUGACUUUAUGUCAUAGUAUUUGUUAACUUUACAUCAUAGUAUUAAAGUUAUGCGAUAUCAAGGAGAAGAACAAACAUCACCUAAACACUGUAUCUUCUUCUGAGGAAAGGGUUAGCGCACUUUCAAUUGUAUGCAGGGGUUUAUCAUGUUAGGAAGAAGUAUGACCUUGUUGUUGUCCUGGUUUGGAGAUUAAGUAUGGUUUAAGCAGAUACAUAUGAAUGCAGGUUGACAAGUGGUAGACUUCUGAUGGUUAAUUCUAUGUGUCAACUUGUCUAGCCCACAAUACUGAUAUUUAGUUAAAUAUUAUUUUAGAUGUGUCUGUGAGAGUGUUUUUGGAUAUUUACAUAUAGAACAGUGGACUUUGAGUAAAGCAGAUUGCCUUCCAUAAUGUGGGUGGGCAUCAUCCAAUCAGCUGAAGGCCUGAUUAGAGCAAAAAGCACACCACACCAGAGCAAGAAGAAAUUCUGCCAGCAGAUGGUCUUCAGACUUGAACUGCAACACUGACUUUUCUUGGGGCUCCAGUCCGCGAGCCCACUCUGCAGAUUUUAGACUAGCUAGCCUCUGUAGUCACACAAGUCAAUUCCUUAAAACAAAUCUCUUUCUUUCUCUCUCUCUCUUUCUCUCUCAUUCUCUCUCUCUCUCUCUCUCUCUCUCUGUGAGUGUAUAAAAGUUCUGUACAAAUUUUAAAUGUUAGACCCUUAUCAGAUGUGUAGAAUGUAUUGAAUGUUUAAAAAUAUUUUCUACGAUUCCUGGUUUCCUUUUUAUAGUUUCUUGAUAGUUUUCUUUAAUGGCCACAGUUUUAAAUUUUAUUUUUAAUUUGCUUUGUUUAAUUAAAAGUUUCCAAUUUAUUAUUUCUUUGAGUGUCUGUGCUUUUUAUGCCAUAUCUAAGCAAUUGUUGCCUACUCCAAGGGCAUAAUGAUUUACCUCUAUAUUUUAUUCUAAGAGUUUUCUGAUUUUAAAUCUUACAUUGAGGUCUUUGAACCAUUUUGAUUAAAUUUUGUGUAUGAUGUGAGAAAAGAGUCCAGAGUCAUAUUUUUGCAUGUAUAUCCAGUUAUCCCAGCACCAUUUGUUAAAAACCAUUUUUUUCCACAUUAAAUGGUUUCACCACCCUUGUCAAAAAUAAGUUGACCAUAGGGUUUUGAUUCCUUCCUUGAAAAUCAACUGACUGAAAAUGUGUUAGAGUACAUUUUUGGACUCCUAAUUUUAUUCCCUUAAUCUAGAUAUCCUUAUGCCCAUACCACACUGUUCUGGUCAGGGCCUCUUGCAAUUACAUAUACAUGUAAGCAUUGGCUUUGCCAUUUCUGAAAAAAUAUUAAAUCUUUCAAGCCAUGAACACAGAGUUUUUAAAAUUUAUUUUAAGUUUUCUUUAAUUUUUUUCAGCCUUAUUUUAUAGUUAUUAGUGCCCAAGUCUCUCACUUUCUUGGUGAAAUUUAUUGCUAGAUAUUUUAUUCUUUUGAAUACUGUUGUGAAAGGUGUUUGAUUUUAAUUUACUUUUAAGAUUGCUUAUUGCUGGUGUAUAGAAGCAUAACUUACUUUCAUGUUGAUUCCAUAUACUGUAAAUUUGAUGAAUUAAUUUGUUAGCUAUAGUAGGUUUUUUUGGUACAUUCUUUGUGAUUUUCCAAAUAAAGGUUCAUGUCAUCUCUGAAUAGAGAGUUUUCUUCUUUUCCAGUAUACAAGUCUUUUAUUUCUUUUUCUUGCCUAAUUGCUCUGGCUAGAACUUCUGGUACAGUAUUGAAUACCAGUGGUGCAGGUGGGCAUUCUUGUGUUGCUCCUGAUUUUAAGGGGAAAGCUUUUCAUCUUUUACCAUUGAGUAUGUUAGCCAUGGGUUUUUCAUACAUUUUCUUUACUGUAUUGAAUGAGUCACUUUUUUAUUCUUAGUUUUCUGAGUGUUUUUAUUCUAAAAGUAUGUUCAAUUUUUAAAAAUGCUUUUCCUGCAUUGAUUGAGAUGCUCAUGUGGCUUUUUUCCCUUCAUUCUUUUAAUGUGGUGAGUUACAGUGAUUGAUUUUCAUAUGUUGACCCACCUUCGCAUUUCUGAGAUUAAUCCCACAUGCUCGUGGUGCAUAAUCCUUUUUAUAUGCUGCUGGAUUCAGUUUUCUAGUAUUUUGUGGAAGAUUUUUUGUAUUUUCAAUUCAUAAGUGAUAUUGGUCUGUAGUUUACUUCCACAUCUUUGUCUGGUUUAGUAUCAGGUUAAUGCUGGCCUCAUAUAUAGAAUGGUUGAGGAAGCGUUCUCUCCUCUUUUGUUGUUGUUCUGGUUUCUUGUUUUUCUUUUUAAGAGUUUGAGAGAUCAAGUUACCCAUAAAGGUAAGCCUAUUAGGCUUACAGCAGAUCUCUCAAGGGAAACCCUACAAGCUAGAAGAGAGUGGGGGCCAAUAUUCAAUAUACUUAAUCAACAGAACUUUCAGCCCAGAAUUUCAUAUCCUGCCAAUUUAAGCUUUACAUUUGAAGGAAAAAUAAAAUCUUUUAGGAACAAGCAAGUACUCAGAGAUUUUAUUACCACCAGGCCUGCUUUACAAGAACUUCUAAAAGAAGCAUUAUACACAGAAAGGAACAACCAGUAUGACCCUUUCUAAAAAUACACCAAAAAGUAAAGAGCAUUAACAUAAAGAAGAAUUUUUAUCAACGAAAGGACAAAAUAGCCAGUUAAUAUCAAAUGGCAGCAACCCUAAAUUUAAAUCGACCAAAUCUCCCAAUCAAAAGAUACAGACAAAAUCUAACGGUAUAUCCAAAGAUAUACAUAGACUCAAAAUAAAGGGUUGGAAAAAAAAAACGUACCAACCAAAUGGAGAGCAAAAAUAAAUAAAUAAAAAGCAGGAGUUGCAAUUUUCACAUUUGACAAAAUAGAUUUCAAAGCCACAAGGAUACAAGGGUAAAAGGAUUAAUGUAAUAAUAAGAGAUCUUAACACCCAGAUACAUAAGACCCAUAAUGAGAUUUAGGUUCAACGAGACAGAAAAUUGAUAACGAUAUCCGGGACUGGAACUAAGAUCCAGAACAAAUAAACUCAAUAGAGCUCUCCAUUUUAAACACACAAAAUAUACAUUAUCCACAAAAUCUAACGAUAUAUCUAAAGAUAUACAAAGACUCAAGGGGAUGGAAAAAAACUCACCAACCAAAUGGAAAGCAAAAAUAAAUAAAUAAAAAGCAGGAGUUGCAUUUCUCACACUUAAUAAAAUAGAUUUCAAAGCUACAAGGAUGCAAGGGUAAAAGGAUUAAUGUAAUAAUAAGAGAUCUUAACACCCAGAUACAUAAGACACAUAAUGAGAUUUAGAUUCAACGAGACAACAAAUUGAUAACGAUAUCCAGGACUUGAACUCAGAGCCAGAACAAAUAAACACAAUAGAGGUCUCCAUUUUAAACACAUAAAAUAUGCAUUAACCACUUUAAACACUCAAAAUAUUGAUCGGCCAUUAUUGAAACCCAUUCUAGGAAUGAAGUAAUAUUCCUUUUUCCCUCUUUUUCUUUUUUUCCCCUUCUUUUUCUCUUUUUCCCUCUAAAAAAAAAAAGUUUGAGAAGGAUGGAUGUUAAUUCUUCUUUAACUGUCUGCUAGAACUCAUCCAGUGAAACAUAGAUUUUUCCUUGUUGGGAGUUUUUUGAUUACUGAUAACAAUACAGGUCUGUUAAGAUUUUCUAUUUCUUCUUGAAUCAAUUUUGGUAGGUUGUGUGUUCCCAGGAAUUUGUUCAUUUCAUCUAGAUUAUCUACUUUGUUAGCAUACAAAUGUUUGUAGUAUUCUCUUAUAGCUUUUUAAAAUUUCUCUAAGGUUGGUAAUAAUGUUCCCACUUUUAUUUCUAACUUUUAGCACUGGGUGAGCACUGAGUUAGAUAAAAUAAAGGCAUCUCUUUCAAAUAGGGUCUUUCAGGGAACACUCACAUGCAUCUGAUAGUGACAACUUUGCAGCUUUAUGUUUUAGGGGAGUCUCUUAUAAGCAACAUUAAACUAGAUUUUGUUUCACAAAAACUUGAAAUUUUUGUCUAUUAACUGAAACAUUAAGCAGAAUUACAUUUA